CCUACGGGUGGCAGCAGUGGGGAAUAUUGGGCAAUGGAGGCAACUCUGACCCAGCAACGCCGCGUGAAUGAUGAAGGUCCUCGGAUUGUAAAGUUCUGUGAUGGGGGAUGAACACAAUGACGGUACCCCAAUAGCAAGCCACGGCUAACUACGUGCAAGCAGCCGCGGGAAUACGUAGUGGGCAAGCGUUAUCCGGAAUGACUGGGCGUAAAGGGUGCGUAGGUGGGUUAGUAAGUUAGCGGUGUAAUUCCGGGGCUCAACCGCGGCGGUACCGCCAAAACUAUUAGACUAGAGUGCAGGUGGGGUAAGUGGAAUUCCUAGUGUAGCGGUGGAAUGCUUAGAUAUUAGGAGGAACAUCAAGGGCGAAGGCGACUUACUAGACUGUAACUGACACUGAGGCACGAAAGCGUGGGGAGCAAACAGGAUUAGAUACCCCUGUAGUC
rnacentral:rRNA from 1 species